UCUUCAAAUGUGAAGAGAGCAACACAAGACUUCAAGGAACACGGAAAAUCAAGGUAACAUGACAUCACCAAAAGAACACAGUAACAUUCUAAUCAUCGACCCCAAAGAAAUGAAGGUUUGUGAUCUGCCCAAUAGAGACUUCAAAAUAGUUGUUUUAAGGCAGCUCAGUGAGCUGCAAAAAAAACAACAACAACAACAAAAAAAACACAGAAAGACAAUUCAAUGAAACUAGGAAAACAAUAUAUGAUCAAAAUGAAAAUUUUAACAGAGACAGAAAUCAUUAAAAAGAACCAAAGAGGGGAUCCCUGGGUGGCGCAGUGGUUUGGCGCCUGCCUUUGGCCCAGGGCGCGAUCCUGGAGACCCGGGAUCGAAUCCCACAUCGGGCUCCCGGUGCGUGGAGCCUGCUUCUCCCUCUGCCUGUGUCUCUGCCUCUCUCUCUCUUUCUGUGACUAUCAUAAAUAAAUAAAAAUUAAAAAAAAAAAGAACCAAAGAGAAAUUCUGCAGCUGAAGAGCAUAAUGAAUGAAAUACAAAAUGCAAUGGAAAACAUCAUCAGCAGACUUAAUUAAAGCAAAGGAAAGGAUCUGUGAAGUCAAAGACAAUUUGAAACCAGGUAGCCAGAGAAGAACAAAGAAUGAGAAGAGUGAAGAAAGCCUUUGUGACUUCUGAGAUGCCAUCAAGAGAAAAAAAAACAAACUAUGUACUACUGGAGUCACAGAAGGAGAAAAGGGAGAAAAGGGCAGAAAGCUUAUUUGAGGAAAUAAUCUAGGGAGAGAUUUGGAUGUCCAAGUUAAUGAAGCUCAUAGGCCCCAAAAAAGGUUUAACAGAAGAUCUUCUCCAAGAUACAUUCUAAAACCGUCGAGAAUCAAAGGCAGAGAAAGAAUUUUAAAAGUAGCAGGCGGAAAAAAAUUCCUCACAUACAAGGGAAUCUCCAUAAAGCUAUCAGUAGAUUUCUCCACAGAAAACUUAGAGGCUAGGUCAGGGCAGGAUGGUACAGUCAAAGCAAUAAACGCAUACAUUAAGGAAAAAAAAGAAAAAUCUCAAUUAAUCUAUUUUUAUAUACCUUGAGGAACUAGAAAAAGAAGAACAAAGUAAGCCCAAGGUUAACAGAAGGAAGGAAAUAACAAAGAUCAGAGCAGAGCAGAGAGAGAGAGACGAGAAAAACAACAGGGAAGUUCAACAAAACUAAGAGCUGCUUUUUUUGAAAAGAUAAAAUCGACAAACCUUUAUAGAAACCAAUAAAAAAAAGAGAGAAGACCCAAAAUCAGAAAUGAAAGAAGAAUUCCUCUUUUCUGGAGACUUCUACCACACGCUUUAAAGAGGAAUUAAUUCAAAUCCUUCUCAAACUCUUAAGAAAACUGAAGAGGAAGGAAGGUUUCCAAUUUAUUUACAAGGCCAGUAUAUCAAAGCCAUCCGAAGACACUAGAAGAAAAGAAAGUUACAGGCUGAUAAGCCUGAUGAAUAUAGAUGCAAAGCUCUUUAACAAACUAUGAGCAAACUGAAUUCAACAGCACAAUAAAAAGUUAUACAUUCUGAUCAAGUUGAAUUUAUCUGUGGGAUGCCAGAAUGGUUCAGCAUAUGCAAAUCAAUAAAUGUGAUACACCACAUUAAUAAAAAUGAAGGAUAUAAUUGUAUGAUUAUUUCAGUAGAUACAGAGAAAAUGUUUGACAAAAUUCCUCCUUUCAUGAUUAAAGCUCUCAACCAAUUUAGUAUAGAAGAAAUGAUGCCUUCACAUAAUAGAGGCCAUAUAAGACAUACCCAGAACUAAUAUCAUACUCAACAGUGAAAAUCUGGAAACUUUUCCCCUAAGAUCAGGAAUAAGACAAGGAUGCUCUACUCUUGCCAUCCCUAUUUAACCGUAGUACUGGAAGGCCCAGUCAGAGCAAUUAGAUAAGAAAUGAAAAGUAUCUAACUUGGAAAGGAGAAAGUAAAACUGUCUGUUUGCAGACGACAUGAUUUUAUAUACAGAAAACUCUAAAGGGCCACCAAAAAACUUAGAACUAACAAACGAAUUCAAUAAAGUUGUAGAAUAUCAAAUCAACAUACAAAAAUCAGUAAUUUUUAUUUUUAUAUUGACAAUGAAUUAUCUGAAAGAGAAAUUAAGAAAACCUCAUUUAUAAUAGCAUCAAAAAUAAUAUUUAGGAAUAAAUUUAAAUGAAGAAGUAUAAGAUUUAUACACUGAAAACUAAGAAAUUGAUGACAUUGAGAAAGACACAAGUGAAAGGAAAGAUAUCCCAUCCAUGUUAAUGGAUUGGAAGAAUUAAUGUUAUUAAAAUGUUCAUAUGACCUAAAGUGAUCUACAGAUUCAACACAAUCCCUAUCAAAAUUCCAUUGGUAUGGGGCACCUGGGUAGCUCAGUGGUUGAGCAUCUGCCUUUGGCUCAAGUCAUGAUUCUGGGGUCCUGGGAUCAAGUUCUGCAUCAGGCUCUCCACAGGGAGCCUGCUUCUUCCUCUGCCUAUGUCUCUGCUUCUCUCUAUCUCUCGCUAUUAAAUAAAAUCUUACCAAAAAAUUCCAUUGGUAUUUUUCACAGAAAUAGAAAAACAGAAAAAACCACCCUAAAAUUCAUAUGAAACCACAAAAGAUCACAAAUAAACAACAUCCUCUUAUGAAAGAAAAACAAAGCUUGAAGCAUCACACUUCCUGACUUCAAACUAUAAUAGAAAGCUACAGUAGUCAAAAUAGUAUGGUACUUACAGAAAAAGAGACACAUAAUCUAAUGGAACAGAGCAGAGAGCCCAGAUACAAACACAGGCAUAUACAGUCAACUAAUCUUUGACCAAGAACAUACUAUGGGGAAAAGAUAAUUUCUUCAAUAAAUAGUAUUGGGAAAACUGGAUAUCCAUAUGCAAAAUAAUGAAACUAAACCUACCUUAUAUGACUUAUGAAAAUGAACUCAAAAUGGAUUAAAGACUUCAAUGUAAAACCUGAAACUAUAAAGCUCCUCAAAGAAAGCCUAGGGAAAAAGCGCCUUGACAUUAGUCGUGGCAAUGUCUUUUUGGACAUGAUAACAAAAGCAAAAGCAAAACAAGUAAUACCAUAUCAAACUAAAAAGCUUCUGCACAGCCAAGUACACCACCCACAGAGUGAAAAGACAACGUGUGUAAUUAAAGAAAAUAUUUGUAAAACAUAUCUGAUAAGGAGCUAAUAUCCAAAAUACAUAAGGAACUCAAUUCAAUAUCAAAAUAAUAAUAAUCCAAUUUAAAGACAGACAAUGGACUUGACUACACAUUUUUCCAAAGAAGACAAAAAAUGCCCAAUAGGUAUAGAAGAAGGUACCAACAUCACUGAUCAUCACAGAAAUUUACAAAUCAAAACCACACUGGAUAAUAAUAUGGAGAUUCUUCAAAAAAUUAAAAAUAGAACUACUCUAUGAUAAUUCCACUUCUGUGUAUAUAUCCAAAGAAAUCACUACACUCAAAGAAAUAUCUAUACUUCCAUGUUCACUGCAGCAUUAUUCACAAUAGCCAAGACACAGAAACAAACCAAGGUUUUGUCAAUGGAUGAAUGGAUAAAGGAGAUGGUAUGUAUAUGUGUAUAUAUAUGUAUGUGUAUAUAUAUAUAUGUAUGUGUGUAUAUACAUAUAUAUAUAUAUGUAUGUGUGUGUACACACACAGUGGAAUAUUAUUCAGCCAUGAGAAAGAAGUAAAGCCUGCCAUUUGAAACAGCAUGUAUGAAUGCAGAGGUCAUUAAUUUUGAAUUCAUAGAAACCAACAGGGUAGAAGGAUAGUUAUCAGGGGCUGGAGAUGGGGAGACAAACCUUCGGAUAUAAUAUGAUUAAGCUCUAACAAUCCAAUGAACAGCAUGAUGACUAUAGUUAAUAACACUGUUUGAAAUUCGCUAAGACCUUAAACAUUCUUACCACACAUAUAUACACAAAAAAGGAACUAUUUGAGGUGAUGGAUGUGUUAAUUAACUUGAUUGUAGUAAUCACUAAAUAUACAUAUGUUAAAUUAUCACAUUGUGUACUUUAAACAUAUACAAUUUGAUUUGUCAAUCAUGCCACAAUAAAAAUGAAAAAACCUGAAACAUGAGGAACAAUAACAAAUAUAAGGAAUAAUAAAAUAAUCUACACAGACACACACACAAAACAAGUGGGCACACUAAAACAAAAGAAAUACUUUCAGAGUUAGAGCAGGAUGCUUUUCAGAGGAAGCCCUCAAAUAUACUAAGGAACUAUGGGUGAGCUUAAACCCUGUGGACCUUA
rnacentral:lncRNA from 1 species